rnacentral:rRNA from 1 species
AGUGAACGCUGGCGGUAGGCCUAACACGUGCAAGUCGAACGGCAGCACAGUAAGCUCUUGCUCUUACGGGUGGCGAGUGGCGGACGGGUGAGGAAUACAUCGGAAUCUACUUUUUCGUGGGGGAUAACGUAGGGAAACUUACGCUAAUACCGCAUACGACCUACGGGUGAAAGCAGGGGAUCUUCGGACCUUGCGCGAUUGAAUGAGCCGAUGUCGGAUUAGCUAGUUGGCUGGGUAAAGGCCCACCAAGGCGACGAUCCGUAGCUGGUCUGAGAGGAUGAUCAGCCACACUGGAACUGAGACACGGUCCAGACUCCUACGGGAGGCAGCAGUGGGGAAUAUUGGACAAUGGGCGAAAGCCUGAUCGAGCCAUGCCGCGUGAGUGAUGAAGGCCUUCGGGUCGUAAAGCCCUGUUGUUGGGAAAGAACAGCAGCGGGAUAAUCCCCCGCUGUUCUGACGGUACCCAAAGAAUAAGCACCGGCUAACUUCGUG